GUGCGUGCAGAGGUCUCAGUUCAACCCCGGAAUGUCGCAUCAUCAUCAGCUUCUCCUAGCGCCCUCGUAGUUCUCUAUCUAUGUCUAUCUUUAGGACUAUAAACACUGCGAGCAGAACCCGGUAGACUGAUAACCAUUACCUGAGGGUGCUACCGAACCCCGUGGUCCCUCUCACCCCCCCUGCCUGCUUAGGAAGCACAUCACCUCUGCGUCUUGUCUCUCUGCGCCCCGCUGCUGAGCGAGAUCAAUCAGACAGACAGAGCGGAUCUUCAAGGGGACAAUAUUCAUCAUCAUGAUCAAUAUCAACAUAUGGACCAAGCGAUAACGGAAUCAGCUCUGUUACUUUAGUAGAUUCUCUGCUUCCAGGCGCAUUAACGGGAUUCUGCCUCCGUCUCUGUGUCCUUGAGCUCGGCCUGUACAGUGAGUCAGUGGUUCCAGUCUGCUCUACCACUAGUCCUUCUCUCAACCCCCAACCCCUUCAUAAGCGAGACAAGAGAGAAGAGUGGAGUCGCCAAGGACACAGGGAGAACGCUGGAGGCAGCCCUAAUCCCUCGGAGUGGGAGAACAAAAUACUAGAAAAAUAACUGAGUCAGUUGUUUCUGAGAUGUUGCUGACUGGUCCCUGGUUAAAACCUUGACCCCUGACCCUACUGGUUAGCUAAUGAAGUCUGUGUUUAAGACUUGUGUCUAAGAACUCUUGAAAGAAGAAGGAAGGACCAGCGCUUGGUGACUGGCUGGUAUAAAUAAGCAGAAACACUCGCUGCUCCGAGAGAGAGAGAGAGAGAGAGAGAGAGAGAGAAAGAGAGAGAGAGAGACAGAGAGAGAGAGACAGAGAGAGAGAGAGAGAGAGAGAGAGAGAGAGUAAGUCUGGACUCGUGUGUUCCAGAUGAGUGGGUGAAACCUCUCCAGAGAAGGAAAUAGAGACCACAGAGAGAGAAGAGGACCAAACCAGUCUGUCAGAAUGUCUACCACCGCCACCAUGGGAGAGAUGGCUAACAGUGCUGUUGAGUUCUACCCUAAAGGCCGGAGCCGAGGUGGAGGUGGGAAGGGGGAGGGUAACAAUGCUGUAGAGGGAGAUUUUGGGGUGACGGUGGAGGAGCUCAGGGAUCUGAUGGAGCUCCGGGGAGGGGAGGCCAUUCAGAAGAUACAGGAGGCAUACGGAGACUCAGAGGGCCUGGCCACUAAACUGCUCACCAACACUAUUGACGGUCUAUCAGGUGACCAGGCAGACCUGGAUCGUCGUAGCAAGUCAUUCGGUCAGAACUUCAUCCCUCCUAAACAGCCCAAGACCUUCCUGGAGCUGGUCUGGGAAGCUCUUCAAGAUGUCACUCUUAUCAUCCUGGAGGUGGCAGCUAUCAUCUCCCUGGGCCUGUCCUUCUACCAACCCCCUGGAGAUGACACUGAGGCAUGUGGUAACGUGUCGGGAGGGGCAGAGGAUGAGGGCGAGGCUGAAGCCGGGUGGAUUGAGGGUGCCGCCAUCUUGCUGUCCGUCGUCUGUGUGGUCCUGGUGACGGCCUUCAAUGAUUGGUCUAAAGAGAAACAGUUCCGUGGACUACAGAGCAGGAUAGAACAGGAGCAGCGCUUCGCCGUCGUGCGGAAAGGAAACGUGAUCCAGAUACCUGUAGCUGACAUGGUGGUGGGGGACAUGGCUCAGGUCAAAUACGGGGACCUGUUGCCAGCGGAUGGUAUCCUGAUCCAGGGAAAUGACCUGAAGAUUGAUGAGAGUUCUCUGACUGGGGAAUCAGACCACGUUGGGAAGACUGUGGACAAAGACCCUAUGCUGCUCUCUGGUACCCAUGUGAUGGAGGGUUCGGGUAGGAUGCUGGUAACAGCUGUGGGGGUCAACUCUCAGACUGGCAUCAUCUUUACACUGUUGGGGGCCGGAGAGGGGGAGGAGGAAGAGGAGGAGGAGGAUGACAAGAAGAAGAAGGGGAAGCAGCCCGAAGUGAUGGUGGAGAACAACCAGAAUAAAGCCAAGAAGCAGGACGAGGCUGUAGCCAUGGAGAUGCAGCCUCUGAAGAGUGCAGAGGGAGGAGAGGUGGAGGAGAAGAAGAGAGGCAACACCACAAAGAAAGAGAAGAGUGUUCUACAGGGUAAACUCACCAAACUGGCUGUGCAGAUUGGGAAAGCAGGCCUGGUGAUGUCAGCUAUAACAGUGCUCAUCUUGGUGUUGUAUUUUGUCAUCCAGACGUUCGUAAUAGAAGAUCGUGUGUGGCUAGCAGAGUGUACUCCAGUCUAUGUCCAGUACUUUGUCAAGUUCUUCAUCAUCGGAGUGACUGUGUUGGUGGUGGCUGUACCUGAGGGCCUGCCGCUCGCUGUCACCAUAUCACUGGCCUACUCUGUCAAGAAAAUGAUGAAGGAUAAUAACCUGGUUCGCCACCUGGAUGCAUGUGAGACGAUGGGGAACGCUACGGCCAUCUGCUCCGACAAGACCGGCACUCUGACCACCAACCGCAUGACUGUCGUACAGACCUUCCUAGGUGACCAGCACCACCGGUCAGUUCCGGAACCAAAACAGGUCAACCCCAAGACUCUAGAACUACUGGUCAACGCCAUCGCUAUCAACAGUGCCUACACAUCCAAGAUCAUGCCUGCAGACCAGGAGGGGGGUCUAGCUAAGCAGGUGGGGAACAAGACAGAGUGUGGCCUGCUGGGCUUCGUUCUGGACCUACAGCAAGACUACAGCGCUGUCCGAGACCGGGUCCCUGAGGAACAGCUGUUCAAGGUGUAUACCUUUAACUCGGUGCGUAAGUCCAUGUCCACGGUGGUCCAGCAACGAGACGGAUCCUUCAGACUCUACAGUAAAGGAGCUUCUGAGAUACUACUGAAGAAGUGUUCGUAUAUCAUGGACGUUCAUGGAAAGCCACGUAAUUUCAGACCCAGAGACAGGGAGGAGAUGGUGAAACAGGUGAUAGAGCCGAUGGCGUGUGAAGGGUUAAGGACGAUCUGUAUCGCAUUCCGAGACCUUCCAUCCAAUCCCGAGCCAGACUGGGACAACGAAGAGGUCAUCGUUACUCAGCUGACCUGUCUCACUGUGGUGGGCAUAGAGGACCCUGUACGACCUGAGGUGCCUGAUGCAAUUCGUAAGUGUCAGAAAGCGGGCAUCUGCGUAAGGAUGGUCACAGGAGACAACAUCAACACAGCCAGGGCCAUAGCAGCUAAAUGUGGCAUCAUCCAUCCUGGAGAAGACUUCCUGUGUAUCGACGGCAAGGAGUUCAACCGGCGAAUUAGGAACGAGAAAGGAGAGGUAGAGCAGGAGAGGAUCGACAAGGUCUGGCCUAAACUACGAGUCCUCGCUCGCUCCUCCCCCACCGACAAACAUACACUAGUCAAAGGCAUCAUGGACAGCACUGUGUUGGAGCUGAGGCAGGUUGUCGCGGUAACCGGAGACGGGACAAACGACGGGCCGGCACUGAAGAAGGCCGACGUGGGCUUUGCCAUGGGUAUAGCCGGUACAGACGUGGCCAAGGAGGCAUCUGACAUCAUAUUAACGGACGAUAACUUCAGUAGCAUAGUGAAGGCUGUGAUGUGGGGGAGGAACGUCUACGACAGCAUCUCGAAGUUCCUCCAGUUCCAGCUGACUGUCAACGUGGUGGCUGUCAUAGUGGCCUUCACUGGGGCCUGCAUCACACAGGACUCUCCUCUGAAAGCAGUCCAGAUGUUAUGGGUUAACCUCAUCAUGGAUACCUUCGCCUCUCUUGCCCUAGCAACAGAACCACCCACAGAGUCCCUGUUGCUACGUAAACCCUACGGCCGCAACAACCCUCUCAUCUCCUUGACGAUGUUGAAGAACAUCCUGGGUCACGGAGUCUACCAGCUCAUCAUUAUCUUUAGUCUCCUGUUUAUAGGAGAGCGUAUCUUCAACAUAGACAGUGGUCGUAAAGCUCCGCUCCACUCCCCUCCGUCAGAACACUACACCAUCAUUUUCAACACCUUCGUCCUUAUGCAGCUCUUUAAUGAGAUCAACGCCAGGAAGAUCCACGGAGAACGCAACGUCUUCGACGGAAUCUUCUCGAACCCAAUCUUCUGUUCUAUCGUGUUCGGAACCUUAGUUAUCCAGGUGGUGAUCGUCCAGUGGGGAGGCAAGCCGUUCAGCUGUGCUCCUCUCAGCGUGGAACAGUGGCUCUGGUGUCUGUUCGUUGGAGUGGGAGAACUACUCUGGGGACAGGUGAUCGCCACGGUUCCCAGCGACCAAUUACCAUGUCUGAAGGAGGCGGGGGCAGCGAUGGCGGCGGUGGAGGAAGAGGAAGAGAUGGACGAAGGAGACGAAGAGGGAGAGAUUGACUGUGCUGAGAGAGAGCUACGACGAGGACAGAUACUGUGGUGUAGAGGACUAAACCGCAUACAGACGCAGCAGGAAGAUGGCGGCUACUUCGAAAGAACACCGACUGUCCCAACAUGUCUACGCUACUCUACAGACCCUGUCAUGUUCCCUGGUGGAAGGUCUAUAUCUGCGUGAGGCUGACAGUAUGCAGGAACUACUGUGUACUCCAUCGCAACACCGCACCGACAUACUGGCAUGGAUCUGUAGCAGCAUCUGUCCAUCUCUCGGUAAGAAACUGCCCUCACUCAGAUCUAAAGACCCAAUCUCCCUCAGCCAAGAGCUGGCAGUGUUUGGCCAGGAGAUGAUGCUGUGUAGAACAGACGACCUGGACCUGAUCACGGGCCGGGCCUGCCCCCUGCGCCAGCUGUGGUUCCUGGAGCAGCUGCUUACUUUAGUGCCUGACUCCGUGGACAGCAGUGAGGACAGCAGGGCCGGAGGAGAGGGCCUACUGAAGGAACUCUUCUGUCCUGAAGCUCUGCCUCACCUGACACAUGCUCUCACCCCUACUCUCAACCCCUGGCCCUCUGAUAUCAGGGGUGCCAGGAAGGGUCAGAGGGCACUACCCAGCAGGCCGAGGGGCGAGGAGGUUGCUGGUGUCACAGCCCUGCUGGAGUCCACUCACGCUGCCCUGGAACAGCUGCAUGACCAGUGUGUGUUCCUGCGUGGUGAGGAGGCCAGUCCUAGCCGGUUCUCUGUCUGCGCGUUACGCGUAGCUGUGUCUGAUCUGGCCCAGAUGAUGAGUGUGUUCAGCCGUGUGUACGACACGGACUUCAGAUCCUACUGCAGCAGAGACCCUCCCAGCCUCGGAUCACACACACACAUCUUCAGCAAUGUCCAUAGGUUGCUCACCGCCUGCAACACGGAGCUAGAGGUCCUGCAGCAGGUAUCAGAGGUGUCUGUAUGUCUGUCUGACACGGUGAAUGAGGUACACUCGGACCCUUGCUACUGGAGUCACGGACACAAACGCACCCUCUCCACCCAGUUGGAGGACCUUACCAAGAGAUACACGGAAUUCCUUUCUCUUCACCACGGAACGGAUAGCAAGCUACCGCUAACCGAACCCUGAACUCCAGACUGAAGCUAGCAGGCUACCGCUAACCUUACCCUAAACUCUACAGACAACUAUUAGCUUGCUACUGCUAACUCUCCAUGAUCACCACAUGUAGUGUUAACUGUCCUGCAUUUCAAUGCUAAGGUUGUUCCAGUAUCAGUGCUAACUGUUACUAGGGCAGUAGGCACAUCAUUAUCUAGCUUGGCUUUCCAUGUUCCCAUCUUAGUUUUUUUAAAAAUGACAAUACACCUGAAAUCACUGUUUUUGGAAAUGUUUUAAUGAGUGCACUAUAUAGGGUCCCAUUUGGGACAUCCACCACAUCAAAUAUGUUUUGCUUUCUCAACACCAGACAACAUUGUUUUAUGUUGUCUGUGUGUGAUAUUUGUCUCUCUCUUGGUUGCAAUGGGUCUCUUGAAAAAAAUAUUUUAUCUCAAUGAGACUAACCUGGAUAAAUAAAGGUUACUAGUUUCUGAA